rnacentral:rRNA from 1 species
GACGAACGCUGGCGGCGUGCUUAACACAUGCAAGUCGAACGGAAAGGCCCUGCUUUUGUGGGUGCUCGAGUGGCGAACGGGUGAGUAACACGUGAGUAACCUGCCCUUGACUUUGGGAUAACUUCAGGAAACUGGGGCUAAUACCGGAUAGGAGCUCCUGCUGCAUGGUGGGGGUUGGAAAGUUUCGGCGGUUGGGGAUGGACUCGCGGCUUAUCAGCUUGUUGGUGGGGUAGUGGCUUACCAAGGCUUUGACGGGUAGCCGGCCUGAGAGGGUGACCGGCCACAUUGGGACUGAGAUACGGCCCAGACUCCUACGGGAGGCAGCAGUGGGGAAUAUUGCACAAUGGGCGGAAGCCUGAUGCAGCAACGCCGCGUGCGGGAUGACGGCCUUCGGGUUGUAAACCGCUUUCGCCUGUGACGAAGCGUGAGUGACGGUAAUGGGUAAAGAAGCACCGGCUAACUACGU